GCACAGUGAAACAUCGCUUUUUCUGUUUCAGUCCACAACGCCGCGCUGAUGUUUGUGUUUUGACACUUGACUUCGCAGAGAGAAACGUUCUAGAGAACUUCUUGGGGCAACCCAACCGAGUCCUGUGGCUUUUGCUGACUCGUCCGAUCUUCUGAAUCAUGCUGAUUCAUGUUGCUGCUUUGGUGUUGGUGUUUGGACUGGACUGCUGGCAUCUGGACAAAGAAAAGUGAACUCAUCCCAAGGGACUACUUCUAAAAAGGUUUUAUUUUACCAAUAUGAGUUAUAUUUUCUUACUGGUCGUCUUCUACGUUUGAGAAACUUUGACUUCAUACCAGAUGCUUUUGAUGUGUUUGAAUUGCUGGAACCUGCUAUUUGCAUUCAUUCCUAGGUCGGAGGCUGCCAUGCAGUCACUGGGAACUGAUCUCAGAUCCUCGGCAUGAUAGGUCAGCACUUACAACUGCUGACCCAUCUCUUCAGGCCCUAAACUUUUGUCUUCACUGGAGGAAGCUGAGAGACAGAAGGUCAGAAAGCCUGUUCGUAAUCCCCACGACAGAGAGAGACGGAUCUGGCAUCUGAGGAAGCCUUAGUGUCGAUGUUCUGGCUUCAGCUGCCCCUCACCCACCAAUUUUGGAGUUUCUGAUACUGUGCCCCUCAGAUACAGUGCAUGAUGGUUGUUGCCAUCUUGGACCUCCCUCCUUCUUUUCUCUUUUUCUUUUUCCCACCCUCCCCUACUCUUCAGAAAAGGGGAACCUCUUCCCCACCACUCCACUCCAGCACAUCAAGUCACUUCAGGACUGAGCACAUCUGCAUCUUCUUCCCCUGUGGCUUGGUGAGGCAGCUCUACCAGGGGGAAGUGAUUGAAAAGCAAGGAUCAUGGUAUUCAUGAUGUAAAAAUGUACCUAUAUUGCCUUUAAAAAGUUUGUUUGUUUUCAGAACAAAAGACCAAAUACCUAUGAAGAUAAAGUGAGUAGCCUGGGUGAUUCUGCCUCACAGACUGCCUCAGUUACUGUUUCCUCAAGGAUCUACAUUCAGGUUAAAUUCAGAAGGUCUAGCUCAAAUGAUCAUCUCACAGAGACUAGACAGAAAACUCAAAGGCUAGACAGAAAAAACAGAUACUGGACUGAAAACACAGAGAUUAGACAGAAGAUACAGAGACUUAAAAAAAAAAAGUACAGCUAGGUUUUCCAGUGCUUGGCCAAUACCCUAAGUUUUUAAGGUACCAAAAGGAUGUUUGUUUGUUUGUUUUCCCCAAGACAACAAAAUAUAAUUUAUGUUGUUGGUCAUUUGAUGGGUUAUAGAAUGGCCACGAUAAGGGAGAAAGCAAAGUCAAAGUUAAAGUCAGGGAUCUCUUUCUUUUUUUCUUCUUUAUCUUUUUCUCUUAUCUUUCUCUUAGCUAGUGUUAAGGGAAAGGAGAUAAAAAAGGGUAUAAAAAGGGGGAGUUUAGGAUGAUAGAAUAAAAGGUAGAUUAUUGAAUAUACUGUGUCAAAUAUAUAUUGUUAUGGAUUAUUGAAUAUUGAUAGAAAUUUAAGAUUAUUUUGAUCAACUUUUGAUUAAUGUAUUAUACAUAUGUAACUAAUUUAUUGUACACUGAUAAAAAUUUAAGAUUGUUUUGUUCAACUUUUGUUUAAUGUAUUGUAUGUAUGCAACACCUUUAUUAUAUAUUGAUAUAAAUUUAAGAUUAUUUUGAUCAACUUUUGCUUAAUGUAUUGUACAUAUGCAGCUCACUUGAAAAUAUGGGGUAAAUUUUUAGUCUUAUGAAACUAAUGCAAACUCUUCAAGGUGAUUGGAGAUGCAAAUUAGUAGUUAUCUGUAAUCUCACUUUUAGUCUUGUUAGAUACUAGUUUAAUUACUGAAAUAAGCUUUAUUUAGUCUCUUGUAUAUGUUUUCAAGGUUAAGUAGAUAGUGCAUAGCUAGAAACAAGCUCUAUAGAUAGACAGACAGAUAGAUAGAUGGUCUUCAAACACUUCAGAGAUCUACAGAAUAUGGCAUUUAAAGAUUUUAACAAUAAAAGGCUUCUUUAAUAGACACAAUUGCUCCUUGCAGCACCUCUAAUCCACUUCAAAGAAGAUGAUGGGCAUCAAAUGUGGCAAGGACAAAUGUGGCAAGAAAACCACUAGAGAAAAAAAAAUCAAAAAAACAAAAAACAAAAAAACAAAAAACAAAACUGUUCUUCAACUGCUGAUAGCAGGCUGUUUGAGCAAACUGUGAACAAGCAGAACCCUGGAAAAUAUACUGUCCAACUUUGCAGAGACUAAGUGGUCAGUCCUUAAAAGUCCUUGCUUCACACAAGAGCCUGUCCAAUAUUCUGGGCCUGUAGCCUGAAGAUUGGGUGCCCCAGUAACACUGAAAGAUCUGUGACUUUUCAGGCAGUCACCUGUCUCUGUCAUUUCUAUAGUUCUGGAAGCUGCUUGCUCUAUGCUUCCUACAUACUUAAGUAAUAUUUCCUUCUCAAGUCUCUGGUGCAGUUGAAGACCAGAUAGUCAUAUUUUUACUACAAUUAAUCUUAAGACAAUGGUUUAUGUCUAAAAAAUAUGUUUUAAGGUCUAAAUAGAUGUUUUUAGGUUGAUAGAUCCAAGACAUGACAAGAAAGUAAUUUAGGUAAAAAAUUUAGGAUUUACCAGGGUAGGAUAGAUAGCGGAAUACUUUUUUCAAGGUUGUCAAAUACAAAUGGACUGGACAUUGUAAAUGUAAUACUUAACCUGAUAAUUCUCAGAAUUCUUAUUGCAUAUAGUUUAUUAAUGUUAGAGAAAAAGCCAAUUAUUUGUAAACAUAAAGGAAGAAAUGUGAACAUUUUUGUUUAUGAUAUGUGAACAUGUUUUUGUUAUAAUUGCAAGUGUUUGAUUUUAGUUUGUUCACCGCUGAUUAUUGCUUAGUGCAGGGAAAUGGUCUUUGCCAGAUGCAAUUAGCUGAAUUCUGAGGACUUUGAAGCGUAUAAAUAUGAUAGGCCCAAGGAAGAAAGCAUGAUGGCUUGGACAAGGAGCCUGAGGAAGACUUCUUGCUGUGCUUGCUAGCUUGCUGGUUACCUGGACUUCUGGAUAUCCUCAUGAUGAACAUCAGUAUUGCCCCCCAAAGAAUCCUACAACCGUACUCAGCAGGAAGAAGUAAAGAAGGCUACAUUCCUUCCAGCUUCCUUUUUUCCCCCUACCUGGAACUCUCGGAUUGGAAAGAAGGUAUAAGCUUUAAGGAACCCCCAAAUAAAGUAGGGUUUGAAAACUAGUGCCUACUGUAUGUACUUACUGUUUUCUUUACUGUGUAUGUUACACUGUGCUUGGCGGCCAUCUGAUUACUUCCACUGAUCAGUCUGUUGGUUUUGCACGUGUUCUAAACUCAUUGUAGGUACUGAAGUCUUAGGUUACAUUUUGAUAUUCAGUAAAUAACUUCAUUAUUUUGAAGGAGCUUUUGUGUUUAAUGUUUGUUCUGUCUAUACAUCCAGAAUUCCCCUUUUCAGAAUAUCCAUUAGAAACACUCUAUAUAUUCAAAUUAUUUUGUAACUUCUCAUUUUGUUUGUAUUCUACAUUUUUUCCAAUAAAGUUGUCCAUUUUAAUAUGUACAUUUUAUAUACAUUUUUGUGGUGAUAUGUGAUUUUUGAAAUAAAUUUACUGUUAUUCUGAA